rnacentral:lncRNA from 1 species
GGGAAAGGGAAAGUCAUCUACUUCUCAAUCAAAAAGACUUGUGCAACCACCACAACCAUGAUAGACUUAUUACUAUCCUCAACCAUCAUGGCCCCCCAGACGCUUCACUGACCACCUUCUACCAUCGUCACACCAUCUUCCUCUCCCAUUACACCACUCUAUUCGACCAUGCCACCUCUUUUUCCUCCUAUUCCACCACAUCUCCCUAUUAUGACCUCAGUGGCUUUUACUACUUAACCACCAUAUUUUGGUUCCAUUCCCACCACUUUCACUACCCCACCCUCUUCCUCCACUAUGCCACCAUCAUUUCCUAUAUAUUCAUCAAUUUAUUUUCAAUACACAAAUACAAUGCCACGCACACCUAGCCCUACUUACAGCCCUUUCUCUUCCCACACUAUGGUCCCAUCUAUGCAGUCACUGCCUAGCCAACCUAUGCACAUUUCUGACACUACAACUUUGAGCGAGGAGGGCUUGCACACACAAACAUCAGAGAGGGUACCAUCAAUUCCAAGUGGUUAUGGAUAAAAUUAUAU